GACGAUUGCUGGCGGCGUGCUUAACACAUGCAAGUCGAACGGUAAGGCUCCAGCUUGCUGGGGUACACGAGUGGCGAACGGGUGAGUAACACGUGGGUGACCUGCCCUGCACUUCGGGAUAAGCCUGGGAAACUGGGUCUAAUACCGGAUAGGACCGCACCGUGAGGGUGUGGUGGAAAGUUUUUUCGGUGUGGGAUGGGCCCGCGGCCUAUCAGCUUGUUGGUGGGGUAAUGGCCUACCAAGGCGGCGACGGGUAGCCGGCCUGAGAGGGUGGACGGCCACAUUGGGACUGAGACACGGCCCAGACUCCUACGGGAGGCAGCAGUGGGGAAUAUUGCACAAUGGGCGGAAGCCUGAUGCAGCGACGCCGCGUGGGGGAUGACGGCCUUCGGGUUGUAAACUCCUUUCACCAUCGACGAAGGGUUUCUGACGGUAGAUGGAGAAGAAGCACCGGCUAACUACGUGCCAGCAGCCGCGGUAAUACGUAGGGUGCGAGCGUUGUCCGGAAUUACUGGGCGUAAAGAGCUCGUAGGUGGUUUGUCGCGUCGUCUGUGAAAUUCCGGGGCUUAACUCCGGGCGUGCAGGCGAUACGGGCAUAACUUGAGUACUGUAGGGGAGACUGGAAUUCCUGGUGUAGCGGUGAAAUGCGCAGAUAUCAGGAGGAACACCGGUGGCGAAGGCGGGUCUCUGGGCAGUAACUGACGCUGAGGAGCGAAAGCAUGGGGAGCGAACAGGAUUAGAUACCCUGGUAGUCCAUGCCGUAAACGGUGGGCGCUAGGUGUGGGUUUCCUUCCACGGGAUCCGUGCCGUAGCUAACGCAUUAAGCGCCCCGCCUGGGGAGUACGGCCGCAAGGCUAAAACUCAAAGGAAUUGACGGGGGCCCGCACAAGCGGCGGAGCAUGUGGAUUAAUUCGAUGUAACGCGAAGAACCUUACCUGGGCUUGACAUAUACAGGAUCGCGCCAGAGAUGGUGUUUCCCUUGUGGCUUGUAUACAGGUGGUGCAUGGUUGUCGUCAGCUCGUGUCGUGAGAUGUUGGGUUAAGUCCCGCAACGAGCGCAACCCUUGUCUUAUGUUGCCAGCACGUUGUGGUGGGGACUCGUAAGAAACUGCCGGGGUUAACUCGGAGGAAGGUGGGGAUGACGUCAAAUCAUCAUGCCCCUUAUGUCCAGGGCUUCACACAUGCUACAAUGGUCGGUACAGUGGGUUGCCAGUCCGUGAGGGCGAGCUAAUCCCGCAAAGCCGGUCUCAGUUCGGAUCGGGGUCUGCAACUCGACCCCGUGAAGUCGGAGUCGCUAGUAAUCGCAGAUCAGCAACGCUGCGGUGAAUACGUUCCCGGGCC
rnacentral:rRNA from 1 species